AUUUAAAUAGUUUAAAAAAAAUUUUGAUUUGUGGAAUCAAAGAUAUAGUUUCUAUUUUAGAUA
rnacentral:tRNA from 1 species